rnacentral:rRNA from 1 species
UACGGAAGAUCCGAGCGUUAUCCGGAAUUACUGGGCGUAAAGAGUUGCGUAGGUGGCAGGUAAAGCGAGUAGUGAAAGAUCCCGGCUCAACCGGGGGCACAUUAUUCGAACUCACCAGCUAGAGCAUGAGAGAGGUAGAUGGAAUUUCUAGUGUAGGAGUGAAAUCCGUAGAUAUUAGAAGGAACACCGAUGGCGUAGGCAGUCUACUGGCUCAUUGCUGACACUAAGGCACGAAAGCGUGGGGAGCGAACGGG